rnacentral:rRNA from 1 species
GAGAUACCAAUGGCGAAGGCAGCUUCCUGGUUCUGUACUGACACUGAGGUGCGAAAGCGUGGGUAGCGAACAGGAUUAGAUACCCUGGUAGUCCACGCCGUAAACGAUGACAACUAGCUGUUGGGAGACAAGAUCUCUCAGUGGCGCAGCUAACGCUUUAAGUUGUCCGCCUGGGGAGUACGGCCGCAAGGUUAAAACUCAAAUGAAUUGACGGGGACCCGCACAAGCGGUGGAGCAUGUGGUUUAAUUCGAUGCAACGCGAAAAACCUUACCUACUCUUGACAUACUUGGAAGCUCUUGUAAUGAGAGUGUGCUUUUAGAGCCAAGAUACAGGUGCUGCAUGGCUGUCGUCAGCUCGUGUCGUGAGAUGUUGGGUUAAGUCCCAUAACGAGCGCAACCCUUACCCUUAUUUGCCAGCGGUUCGGCCGGGAACUAUAAGGGGACUGCCGGUGACAAACCGGAGGAAGGUGAGGACGACGUCAAGUCAUCAUGGCCCUUACGAGUAGGGCUACACACGUGCUACAAUGGGGAAUACAGACGGACGCUAAAGCGUGAGCUGGUGCUAAUCCUAAAAAAUUUCUCGUAGUCCGGAUUGCAGUCUGCAACUCGACUGCAUGAAGUCGGAAUCGCUAGUAAUCGCGAAUCAGCAUGUCGCGGUGAAUACGUUCUCGGGUCUUGUACACACCGCCCGUCACACCAUGGAAGUGUGUUGCACCAGAAGUAGGUAGUCUAACCCUCGGGAAGGCGCUUACCACGGUGUGAUCCAUGACUGGGGUGAAGUCGUAACAAGGUAGCCGUAGGGGAACCUGUGGCUG